AUGCUUAAUCCAGUUUGUGAAGUGUAAAGUGAAUAAUACGCUUUUCACAGUGAUAGUGGUUGAUGUAAUCUCCUCGCCAAUCCGAUUUAUCACGAGAUAUAUUUAUCGUUUUGACUGACACACAAAAAAUUGCCAGUAUUGAUUAUGUAAAAACUGUCAAUAUUCACUGCAGAAGAGAAUAGCUUUUCUAUUUUUUUUUCAAAUCUACUUUUCCACUAGAUUGGCUUCAAAAAUAUUGACAAAUUAUUAUUUCGAAAUUUUUGUCAAAAAUUGAAAACUUGUCAAAAAAUGUUUUCGUGAAAAAGUAUGAACAGCUCCGACAGCAGAAGGAGCAAAUUCAGAAGCAAAUUAUUGAAAGAACUGGCAGCUAACUAUCAGCAUGUUGAUCGUUGUCAAUGUGCCCAUAAAGAUCGCAUUCGAAGUGUUCAAGAAAAUUUAAAAUAUUCCAAGAAAAUGGCCUACUUGCAGACAGUUUUGAUUGUUUUGGGAAUAUUGUGUUUACUAUCAAUUGGCAUCUGUAUGGGACUUAUUCUUGGAUUUGGUCUAUCAAAUUCUCAUGGAACAGCAGGACCUUGUGUAAAUUCAUUUCCAUUUUGGUUUGAAAAUGAUUGUCAAGUGGGUUUUUGAAAAAUCAAUUGUACUUGUUUUUUGUAAGAAAAAUAUAUUUUUUACCUUUCUUUUUUGAAGAAAGUUGAUUUUGUCAACAUUAAA